rnacentral:rRNA from 1 species
AGCGUACACGGUGGAUGCCCUGGCAGUCAGAGGCGAUGAAGGACGUGCUAAUCUGCGAUAAGCGUCGGUAAGGUGAUAUGAACCGUUAUAACCGGCGAUUUCCGAAUGGGGAAACCCAGUGUGUUUCGACACACUAUCAUUAACUGAAUCCAUAGGUUAAUGAGGCGAACCGGGGGAACUGAAACAUCUAAGUACCCCGAGGAAAAGAAAUCAACCGAGAUUCCCCCAGUAGCGGCGAGCGAACGGGGAGCAGCCCAGAGCCUGAAUCAGUGUGUGUGUUAGUGGAAGCGUCUGGAAAGGCGCGCGAUACAGGGUGACAGCCCCGUACACAAAAAUGCACAUGCUGUGAGCUCGAUGAGUAGGGCGGGACACGUGGUAUCCUGUCUGAAUAUGGGGGGACCAUCCUCCAAGGCUAAAUACUCCUGACUGACCGAUAGUGAACCAGUACCGUGAGGGAAAGGCGAAAAGAACCCCGGCGAGGGGAGUGAAAAAGAACCUGAAACCGUGUACGUACAAGCAGUGGGAGCCUCUUUAUGGGGUGACUGCGUACCUUUUGUAUAAUGGGUCAGCGACUUAUAUUCUGUAGCAAGGUUAACCGAAUAGGGGAGCCGAAGGGAAACCGAGUCUUAACUGGGCGUUAAGUUGCAGGGUAUAGACCCGAAACCCGGUGAUCUAGCCAUGGGCAGGUUGAAGGUUGGGUAACACUAACUGGAGGACCGAACCGACUAAUGUUGAAAAAUUAGCGGAUGACUUGUGGCUGGGGGUGAAAGGCCAAUCAAACCGGGAGAUAGCUGGUUCUCCCCGAAAGCUAUUUAGGUAGCGCCUCGUGAAUUCAUCUCCGGGGGUAGAGCACUGUUUCGGCAAGGGGGUCAUCCCGACUUACCAACCCGAUGCAAACUGCGAAUACCGGAGAAUGUUAUCACGGGAGACACACGGCGGGUGCUAACGUCCGUCGUGAAGAGGGAAACAACCCAGACCGCCAGCUAAGGUCCCAAAGUCAUGGUUAAGUGGGAAACGAUGUGGGAAGGCCCAGACAGCCAGGAUGUUGGCUUAGAAGCAGCCAUCAUUUAAAGAAAGCGUAAUAGCUCACUGGUCGAGUCGGCCUGCGCGGAAGAUGUAACGGGGCUAAACCAUGCACCGAAGCUGCGGCAGCGACGCUUAUGCGUUGUUGGGUAGGGGAGCGUUCUGUAAGCCUGUGAAGGUGUGCUGUGAGGCAUGCUGGAGGUAUCAGAAGUGCGAAUGCUGACAUAAGUAACGAUAAAGCGGGUGAAAAGCCCGCUCGCCGGAAGACCAAGGGUUCCUGUCCAACGUUAAUCGGGGCAGGGUGAGUCGACCCCUAAGGCGAGGCCGAAAGGCGUAGUCGAUGGGAAACAGGUUAAUAUUCCUGUACUUGGUGUUACUGCGAAGGGGGGACGGAGAAGGCUAUGUUGGCCGGGCGACGGUUGUCCCGGUUUAAGCGUGUAGGCUGGUUUUCCAGGCAAAUCCGGAAAAUCAAGGCUGAGGCGUGAUGACGAGGCACUACGGUGCUGAAGCAACAAAUGCCCUGCUUCCAGGAAAAGCCUCUAAGCAUCAGGUAACAUCAAAUCGUACCCCAAACCGACACAGGUGGUCAGGUAGAGAAUACCAAGGCGCUUGAGAGAACUCGGGUGAAGGAACUAGGCAAAAUGGUGCCGUAACUUCGGGAGAAGGCACGCUGAUAUGUAGGUGAAGUCCCUUGCGGAUGGAGCUGAAAUCAGUCGAAGAUACCAGCUGGCUGCAACUGUUUAUUAAAAACACAGCACUGUGCAAACACGAAAGUGGACGUAUACGGUGUGACGCCUGCCCGGUGCCGGAAGGUUAAUUGAUGGGGUUAGCCGCAAGGCGAAGCUCUUGAUCGAAGCCCCGGUAAACGGCGGCCGUAACUAUAACGGUCCUAAGGUAGCGAAAUUCCUUGUCGGGUAAGUUCCGACCUGCACGAAUGGCGUAAUGAUGGCCAGGCUGUCUCCACCCGAGACUCAGUGAAAUUGAACUCGCUGUGAAGAUGCAGUGUACCCGCGGCAAGACGGAAAGACCCCGUGAACCUUUACUAUAGCUUGACACUGAACAUUGAGCCUUGAUGUGUAGGAUAGGUGGGAGGCUUAGAAGUGUGGACGCCAGUCUGCAUGGAGCCGACCUUGAAAUACCACCCUUUAAUGUUUGAUGUUCUAACGUUGACCCGUAAUCCGGGUUGCGGACAGUGUCUGGUGGGUAGUUUGACUGGGGCGGUCUCCUCCUAAAGAGUAACGGAGGAGCACGAAGGUUGGCUAAUCCUGGUCGGACAUCAGGAGGUUAGUGCAAUGGCAUAAGCCAGCUUGACUGCGAGCGUGACGGCGCGAGCAGGUGCGAAAGCAGGUCAUAGUGAUCCGGUGGUUCUGAAUGGAAGGGCCAUCGCUCAACGGAUAAAAGGUACUCCGGGGAUAACAGGCUGAUACCGCCCAAGAGUUCAUAUCGACGGCGGUGUUUGGCACCUCGAUGUCGGCUCAUCACAUCCUGGGGCUGAAGUAGGUCCCAAGGGUAUGGCUGUUCGCCAUUUAAAGUGGUACGCGAGCUGGGUUUAGAACGUCGUGAGACAGUUCGGUCCCUAUCUGCCGUGGGCGCUGGAGAACUGAGGGGGGCUGCUCCUAGUACGAGAGGACCGGAGUGGACGCAUCACUGGUGUUCGGGUUGUCAUGCCAAUGGCACUGCCCGGUAGCUAAAUGCGGAAGAGAUAAGUGCUGAAAGCAUCUAAGCACGAAACUUGCCCCGAGAUGAGUUCU